rnacentral:rRNA from 1 species
GACGAACGCUGGCGGCGCGCUUAACACAUGCAAGUCGAGCGAGAACCAGUCCUUCGGGGCUGGGGACAGCGGCGAACGGGUGAGUAACACGUGGGUAAUCUGCCCUCGGCACCGGAAUAGCCCGGGGAAACCCGGAUUAAUGCCGGAUGGCCUCUCUGCCCCUCGGGGCGGCGAGAAAAGGUAGCUUCGGCCUCCGGCCGAGGAUGAGCCCGCGGCCGAUUAGCUUGUUGGUGAGGUAACGGCUCACCAAGGCGACGAUCGGUAGCUGGUCUGAGAGGACGAUCAGCCACACUGGGACUGAGACACGGCCCAGACUCCUACGGGAGGCAGCAGUGGGGAAUCUUGCGCAAUGGGCGAAAGCCUGACGCAGCGACGCCGCGUGCGGGAAGAAGGCCUUCGGGUUGUAAACCGCUUUCAGGAGGGACGAAGCCACUCGGGUUAAUAGCCUAGAGGGUGACGGUACCUCCAGAAGAAGCCCCGGCUAACUACGUGCCAGCCGCCGCCGUAAAAC